CAGAGGUCCCAAGCGUUGUUCGGAUUCACUGGGCGUAAAGGGUGCGUAGGUGGUGGAGUAAGUCGGAUGUGAAAGCUCGGAGCUCAACUCCGAAAUGGCAUUGGAAACUACUCCGCUAGAGGAUCGGAGGGGAGACUGGAAUUCCCGGUGUAGCAGUGAAAUGCGUAGAUAUCGAGAGGAACACCAGUGGCGAAGGCGAGUCUCUGGACGAUUCCUGACGCUGAGGCACGAAAGCCAGGGGAGCAAACGGGAUUAGAUACCCCGGUAGUCCUGGCCGUAAACGGUGCGCAUUUGCUGUGAGCGGAUUCGACCCCGUUCGUGGCGGAGCCAACGCGUUAAAUGCGCCGCCUGGGAAGUACGGUCGCAAGAUUA
rnacentral:rRNA from 1 species